AGGACAAGCAAAUCCCAUAAACCGUGGCUCAGUUCAGAUCGUAGGCUGCAACUCGCCUACGUGAAGGAGGAAUCGCUAGUAAUCGCAGGUCAGCAUACUGCGGUGAAUACGUUCCCGGGCCUUGUACACACCGCCCGUCACACCAUGGAAGUUGGCCACGCCCGAAGCCGUUACUCCAACCCUUGUGGAGGAGGACGUCGAAGGUGGGGCUGAUGACUGGGGUGAAGUCGUAACAAGGUAUCCGUACCGGAAGGUGCGGAUGGAUCACCUCCUAAC
rnacentral:rRNA from 1 species